rnacentral:tRNA from 1 species
UGGGCUAUGGUGUAAUGGUAGCACAAGACAUUUUGGUCGUCUUUGUUCUGGUUCGAAACCGGAUAGCCCAACCA